rnacentral:lncRNA from 1 species
UUCUCAAGCAUAUCUAAGUUUUUGAAACUUUAAAUGAUUAUUUUCUAUUAGCUCUUAUUAUGAAAUCUUCAUCUGUUGCUUUAAGAGAUUAUCUACCACUGGGUAUGGUCACAGCAUGCCUGUAACCCCAGAUACUCAGGAGGCCGAGCAGGAGAAUGGCUUGAGCCCAGGAGUUGGAAACCAGCCUGGACAAUAUAGCAAGACCCCAUAUGAAAAAGAUAUUUUUUAAAAAAGAUGCUCUCAAUAAAAUUUGGAAUCUUUCUGGAAAUUACUCUAUGGCACUUUCAGUGUGAGAAUGCAGCAACAAGGUGCCAGCUAUGAAGCAAAGAGCCCUUACCAGACAAUGAAUCUACUGACAACUUGAUCUUGGACUCUUCAGCUUCCCAAACUGGUUACCAACUAUAUCACAUAAUGGUCCUAAGGAUUAAAUGAAAAAAAAUGCAGUAAGAGCAUUAAAUUGAAGCCAAGGGACUGAAAUAAGAAACUCCAGAGAACAACAAGAGGAACUGAAAUUGCAUGGUCAUUAGAAGGCAUCUUAAGAAUAACUGUGUAGCAGAGAAUGAGGACUCAUAUCAAAGUUUGAUUCUUUUAGUAUUGGAUUUUAUGUUCUGAAGGUUAGGACUGAACGUCUCCUGGAGCCAUUAUGCAGCCUACCACACUUGCUAUAUCUUCCAGAAUUUUGGAGGAAGUAAUUCAUUCUGUCAGCUUCCGGCUGGAAAAUGUUAUCAUGUGUCACCUCAAUAUGUGUCAUCUCUGGUAAUUAUUGAAAAGGCUAUUACAUUUGGUCAUUUA